rnacentral:rRNA from 1 species
GAUGAACGCUGGCGGUGUGCCUUAAGCAUGCAAGUCGAGCGGAGAUAGAGCAAUCUAUUUUAGCGGCAGACGGGUGAGUAACGCGUAGGAAUCUACCUCUUGGUGGGGAAUAGCCCUCCGAAAGGAGGGGUAAUACCGCAUUAUCUCGUGCGGAGCACGAGGAAAUUCGAAAAACGAAAUCCGAAAUUCGAAACAAAAUCUAAUCAUUAAAUUCAAAUGUUUAAAACAUUAGGGUUUUAAGAUUUUGAAUUUGUUUCGUGCUUCGAGAUUCGAAUUUAGGAUUUUCUCGUGCUACGCACGAGCAAAGGCCAUAACUGGUCGCCGAGAGAGGAGCCUGCGUCCUAUCAGCUUGUUGGUGGGGUAAUGGCCUACCAAGGCAAUGACGGGUAGCCGGUGUGAGAGCACGACCGGCCACAAGGUAACUGAGACACGGUGCCUACACCUACGGGUGGCAGCAACUGGGAAUAUUGCGCAAUGGACGAAAGUCUGACGCAGCGACACCGCGUGUGGGAUGAAGCAUUUCGGUGUGUAAACCACUGUGGCGAGGGAGAAAGUUCCGCCUUGUGCGGAAUUGAUAGUACCUCGCUA